CGACCUCCCGCCCCCGCUGCGCGCGUUUCUGGCCCUGCCAGUGUCUCCGCCGGUUGAAAGCGCGUGUCUGCGUCGGGUUCUGUUGGAGUGCGUUCGGUGCGCCGUGGGUCCGCGCUGCUUCCACCCAACUUCCUGUUAGUUUCUCUCCUGUCACAAUGGCAUGAUCUCGGCUCACUGCGACCUCUGCUUCCUGGGUUCAAGGAUUCUCCUGCCUCAGCCUCCCAAGUAGCUGGGAUUACAGUUUCCAUCAUUAUCUUCUAUGGAGUUCUUCAUUCCCACAUCUGUGGACCUUAAAAUCCUACCGUUGAGUGCCUGCCUUGGAUCAGCAGUCAGUUCGUUACCUUGGUUCUCAGACGAUGCUUGCAACAACGCCAUGCGAUUCGCCCACUCUUGGUAGGCAGAGAAGCCUUCAGAGAAGGAUCCUGACUCGGUGGUUUGUGCAGUGACAUUUGGCAGUGUUUUCUCGGCAAGCGAGUCUUUGAGGCUGCCCUCAUGCUGCUCAGUGGGCACACCAAGAACAAGAGCUGGCCAGGGAUGACGGACGCAUCUAGGCCUUCUCGGCCUAAGGGUUACAUUAGUUAUACACUCUGGAGGUGACUUGACCUGUCAUUGUGAACAAUUAUUGCUCUUGGACGACCCAGGACAUAGGCCAGCCAGUACGUACCCCAGUGUGUUGGAGAAUCGCGCUCGGCUUCUUCCUCUGUGCUGAGUCAUGAAAGUUGCCGGAGCAGGUGCAGUUACACAACCUCCAGGUAUGAUCCUGUUUAAGGACUGGAUUUAGGAUAACUACUUAGAGGUUAAAAGUCACAAGGGUGUAUGGAUGAGGCUGGAGUGAUCUGGGACCAAAGACAUCUAGGCUUGCUGUCAAGGCUUCUGAUCAACAUGAGAUGACCGCCGUGUGGUAAACUGAUGAACCCUGACCCUGAUCAACAUGAGAUGACCGCCGUGUGGUAAACUGAUGAACCCCGACCCUGAUGAACGUGAGAUGACCGCCGUGUGGUAAACUGAUGAACCCCGACCCUGAUGAACGUGAGAUGACCGCCGUGUGGUAAACUGAUGAACCCCGACCCUGAUGAACGUGAGAUGACCGCCGUGUGGUAAACUGAUGAACCCCGACCCUGAUGAACGUGAGAUGACCGCCGUGUGGUAAACUGAUGAACCCCGACCCUGAUCAACGUGAGAUGACCGCCGUGUGGUAAACUGAUGAACCCCGACCCUGAUGAACAUGAGAUGACCGCCGUGUGGUAAACUGAUGAACCCCGACCCUGAUCAACAUGAGAUGACCGCCGUGUGGUAAACUGAUGAACCCCGACCCUGAUCAACAUGAGAUGACUGCCGUGUGGUAAACUGAUGAACCCUGACCCAUUAGGCUUUGGCUACAGAAUGUGGAAAUAAGUUGUGUUACUACAUGUGUGUAAUCCUAGGGUGCAGGACACCGGCCGGGAGGUUCCAUAGAGUGAUGGGUUCUGCAGGUAACUCAUCCUCUAGUCCUCUGUAAGCUCCUAGAAGGAAGAAAUUAUGUCCUUUAGACUAAUAAAAUUCCUCCAAACCAAAUACAGCACCUACUGUGAAGACACAAAGAUACUUUUAGAAUAGUAAAAACUUUAUCCAUUGAGAAAUUCCUUAAUGAAACAGUAUCCAAGAAGUCAUUUGCCAGCAGAUUUCUUAGAGGUGCGAUAAAGAAGAGGACAUUGCCAGUCGUCACAGCAGCUGCAAUAGCUCCUCUCUAUUGUUAAACAGUGGGAUAUCUUGUGCAGGUUUUCAGUUGACAAUCAAUUUUAAAGAUUAGUUUCGGUCCCCAUCAAUCAAUUAUUUAUUAACCCAUCAAUAAAAAUUUAAAUGCUCUGUGAGGUACA
ensembl:lncRNA LINC01128 long intergenic non-protein coding RNA 1128